UAAGGAAUAUUGGUCAAUGGGCGCAAGCCUGAACCAGCCAUGCCGCGUGCAGGAAGACGGCCCUAUGGGUUGUAAACUGCUUUUGUCAGGGAAUAAACCCCCGCUCGUGAGCGGGGCUGAAGGUACCUGAAGAAUAAGCAUCGGCUAACUCCGUGCCAGCAGCCGCGGUAAUACGGAGGAUGCAAGCGUUAUCCGGAUUCAUUGGGUUUAAAGGGUGCGCAGGCGGAUUGGUAAGUCAGGGGUGAAAUCCCACAGCUCGACUGUGGAACUGCCUUUGAUACUGUCAGUCUAGAGUAUAGUUGAAGGGGGCGGAAUGUGUCAUGUAGCGGUGAAAUGCUUAGAUAUGACACAGAACACCGAUCGCGAAGGCAGCUCGCUAAGCUAUAACUGACGCUCAUG
rnacentral:rRNA from 1 species